AUUGCACGCUGGCGGCAGGCCUAACACAUGCAAGUCGAACGAGUGGCGGACGGGUGAGUAAUGUCUGGGAAACUGCCCAAUGGCGGGGGAUAACUACUGGAAACGGUAGCUAAUACCGCAUACCAUCGGAUGUGCCCAUAUGGGAUUAGCUAGUAGGUGGGGUAACGGCUCACCAAGGCGACGAUCCCUAGCUGGGCUGAGAGGAUGACCAGCCACACUGGAGAUGAGACACGGUCCAGACUCCUACGGGGGGCAUCAGUGGGGAAUAUUGCACAAGGGGCGCAAGCCUGAUGCAGCCAGGCCGCGUGUAUGAAGAAGGCCUUCGGGUUGUAAAGUACUUUCAGCGAGGAGGCGUUAUUCGCAGAAGAAGCACCGGCUAACUCCGUGCCAGCAGCCGCGGUAAUUC
rnacentral:rRNA from 1 species